GUAAAUUCCCACUGGGAAAGAGCUAAAAAAGGCUGUGGAUUUGGGAUCUGCUCACUUCAUUUUGAAGUUAUUAUUCUUCAGUGAAGACAUCAUCUUUGAAAUAAUCUUCCCUUCACUGGGAUUCACUUUGCCUCUCCUCCAGUGCAGAGAGCAGCUGUGCUGCUGGUCACAAGUUCUUUGUGAGAGGUGUGAUGUUAUCGAUAUUCCUGCAGAGACACUCAAAGGAGAGCCUGCCAAAGGGUGUGAUUAAUGAACAUGGAACAGAUCUAGUGCUGCAGUCUCUUCUUGCAACUUCCUCCAAGUCUCAAUCUCCAGGCAGAAGAGCAUGAUGAGUGACUAAGGUGGAGAUACUGGCUGGCUAAUAAAACUAAAGCUGAAUUAUCUAUCUCUUAGAUCAGCUUGGAAAAAUAUCAACUUGAUGAACAGAGGAAAAGGAGGAGCAGAAAUUGGCAGUAACAGCGCUGUUGGUUGGAUUAUUGUACAAGUCAGCAGUUUAAAAGCAAGUAAGCACAUGGAUAAGAAACAAAAGAAGUGAUUUAGCCUAGUGUUUUUCAUACUGCCCCAUGGAGAAAAAAGAACAGUUAGAUUCCCUGAAUCAAUCAGAAUCAACUUUCCUUCUAUGAAAGAGAUUUAUUUAUUAAAACAAAAAACCAAACCAAACAAACAAAAAAAAAAACAACCAAAAAAAAAGAAAUAAAACCCCAAGAAGCUACAGGAGAUACAGUGUUGUGUUGAUCUCAAGAAAACUUAUGGAUAAGGACCUGAGUCUUUUUCUGUCUCCACCUUAAUGAAUAUAAUGUAAUAUAUUAUUUCUGUUUUCCUUUCCAAAAAUAUUCGCUCCCUGUAAGUAAAAGACGCUUAUCACACAGCUGAAACAUUAGAAAAUUUGAAGAUUAAAGUGGGAUAUUCCAAACAAGGUCACAAGAAGGUCGUUGUGUGCUGUGCUGUACCACAAUCUCUGCUGCUAUAUUGUCCCACUCUUAUUCUCGCUCCUUUUCCUUGUUCUUUCACUGGAAAUACAUGUGAAUCAAGGAAUGUGUCUGCAUAUUUAUAAGAAUUGCAAAGAAUGUCAUGCAGUGAUUAGAAACAAUCUUUUCUAUCUCCAAUUAGCCAGAUACACCAUUUUAGCAUUCUGAGCAGGACUGUAUUUAGCGAUGUGCAAACUCUGUUUGAAAUGUCUCAACAAGUCUCCAUAUAGAGUCUGAGAGAUGAUAGAAAUCUCCCACAGAAUUAUUUAUCUGUCUUGCACAGACUGAAGCAAGCUUUGUCUUUUUUAUUUGGGACAGUUUAAUCAGAUGUCUUUGAAUAUGCUGGGUAAAGUAAGCCUA